rnacentral:rRNA from 1 species
GACGUAGGGCGCGAGCGUUGUCCGGAAUUAUUGGGCGUAAAGAGCUCGUAGGCGGCUUGUCGCGUCGGACUGUGAAAACCCGUGGCUCAACCAUGCGGUCUGCAGUCGAUACGGGCAGGCUAGAAUUCGGUAGGGGAGACUGGAAUUCCUGGUGUAGCGGUGAAAUGCGCAGAUAUCAGGAGGAACACCGGUGGCGAAGGCGGGUCUCUGGGCCGAUAUUGACGCUGAGGAGCGAAAGCGUGGGGAGCGAACAGG